CCUAUCCCGUCUUCUUCUUCUUCUUGUUAUUCUUCCCACUUUUCCCUGUUUUUUCUUCUCUCUAUACACCAUCUUCUUCUUCUUCUUGUUCUUCCUUUUUUUUUUCCUCUCUGUACACCACGUCGUCAAAUCUAACCUAUUCUGAACAUGGACACUCACCAUACUGGACCUGCCCACAUCGUAAACCCCCAAAAAUCAACACCUACAUAUUCAAAAAUUCAUCGAAAAUAUACAAAACAGAAAAAAAAUUCCAGUUGCAGGAAGAUCCGAGUUAAUCAACCGAUCGACGACGAUCCGAGUUGCAGGAAGAUCAUGAUUUAGAAGGGGGACAUGGUGUUGAAUAUAUGGAUUUAUCAAGGGAAGGGGGUUGAUAGGGUUCCAGGGAUUGGGAUGUGUUCCAGGGAUUAGGAUAGGUUCCAAGGAUCGGGAUGGGGUUCCAGGAGUCGGAUGGGGUUUUAGAUGAGAGAGACUGUAGCCAUGACAUUAGCCAGGCGUCAGAUGAGCCGUCUCCUUCCUUUGUCGAUUUUAGGCUGACUUGUGGACUGGCUUGGGCUAGGUGUCAGUCUAUUCCACGGGCUGGAGUUGAUUGGCUGAGUCUCAGCUUGUUUUUUCCACCGGGUGCCGGCCUCUUUUGCUUCCGGUGGAAGUGCUCUGAGGGGACUCUACGCCUGGUUUUAAUUUACUUUUUAUUAUUUAUUUUUUUAAAUUAUUAAAAGUUAACAGAGUUAUGUUAGGUACCAUUUGGUAUGUGGGACGAGACGAAAUGAAGUGGGACGAGGUGUUCCGUCCUACGUUUGGUGCGCCUAAAAAGGGUGGAACGCGUUGUCCCGCUAGACGAAUUUUGGGUGAAUUUUGGUUCCGCCUCCCCCUUGGAACGACUCGUUCCACAUCCGUGGAACACAAAAUUAUAACCAUUUAAGACAAAAAUACCCCUUAUCUUUUUCAAUAUUUACACCAUCCAAAAAACAAACCCUAAAAUUCUAUCUUCUUCGUUCCAUCUUCUCUGCUUGCUGCUACCUUUUCCCGUAGCCUUCCUCCUCAUCUUCUCCCGUAGCAGUUGCAUCUCCAGGUUUGAUCUUGAUCUUCUUCGGUAGCUGCUGCAUCACCAGGUUCGAUCUCGAUCUUCUCCCAUAGCCGCUGCAUCUCUAGACGUAGGGGAUCUUUUCACAUGUGUAGAUGACUCGUUUGGUCAACUCGGGCAUGGUGAUUCCAGUCACAGCGCCGUCCUGUCAAAGUCUCCUUGUUGGUUGAUAAGCAUGUGGAGAUAAUAACAUGCGGAAUGCGCCAUUGACUUGUUUUGCUGAAAGGUAGAUUGUAAGGUUGAUCUUGUAUGUUUCUGGCAAACACAAUUUUUUAAAUGUAGUGAGGCUGAUUUAUGCGGAUGUAUAUGUUUCGUUACAUGCUUAAAGCUUUGGGUUUUUGUACUACAAGAAGUCAUUCCCUUUAAUCGAUAUAACCCAUUUGUCGUA